rnacentral:rRNA from 1 species
UACGUAGGGUGCGAGCGUUAAUCGGAAUUACUGGGCGUAAAGAGUGCGUAGGCGGUUCGUUAAGUCAGCUGUGAAAGCCCCGGGCUCAACCUGGGAACUGCGGUUGAAACUGGCGAACUAGAAUCUGGCAGAGGGGGGUGGAAUUCCACGUGUAGCAGUGAAAUGCGUAGAGAUGUGGAGGAACACCGAUGGCGAAGGCAGCCCCCUGGGCUGAGACUGACGCUCAGGCACGAAAGCGUGGGGAGCAAACAGG